AGCUCCAAUAGCGUAUAUUAAAGUUGCUGCAGUUAAAAAGCUCGUAGUUGCAUUUCCGAGGCAAGGGAUUAGUCCGACCUUUGGUGGGUAUUUAAUCCUCUUGCCUCGUCCUUGAGUGGUGCUUCUUGGUAUUAAGUUAUCGAGGAGAUAGCCGCUCAUCGUUUACUGUGAGAAAAUUAGAGUGUUCAAAGCAGGCUUAUGCCGUUGAAUAUAUUAGCAUGGAAUAAUAAGAUAGGACCUCGGUACUAUUUUGUUGGUUUGAGAACCAAGGUAAUGAUGAAUAGGGACAGUUGGGGGUAUUCGUAUUCAGUUGUCAGAGGUGAAAUUCUUAGAUUUACGGAAGACGAACUACUGCGAAAGCAUCUGCCAAGGAUGUUUUCA
rnacentral:rRNA from 1 species